rnacentral:lncRNA from 1 species
CCUUCUUUUCUGCAUCAGUUGCUUCCUGGAACUUAGAGUUCAAUGCAUCCUGUUCCUCUUGGCUAAGUUGGUCAACAAGAUGCUUCUCCAGUGCAGGAACUUUAGGCUUCUGUUGACUAGGCUGCACAACUUCAUUGAGCUGGGAAAUGGGAACUGGGCGUGGAGGCUUCCCUGGAGCACCAGAAGCCACCUGUCCUGCACCCCUUGACCCUUGUGUUGGUUGACUAGGCUGCGCAACUUCAUUGGGCUGGGAAAUGGGAACUGGGCGUGGAGGCUUCCCUGGAGCACCAGAAGCCACCUGUCCUGCACCCCUUGGCCCCUGUGUUUGCUGGGAAGC